GGGAAGGAAAGACAAAAGGGAAGGAAUGAAGGACGAAAGGGUGGAAGGGAAUGGGGGGAGGGAGAAAGAGGGAGAGAGGGAAGGAGGGAGGAAAGAGGGAAGGAAGGGAAGUCAAAAGGGAAGGAAGGAGGGAAAGAAGGAAUGAAGGAUGGAAGGUGAAAGAGGGAGGAAGGGAAGGAGGGAGGUAAGAAGGAAGGAAAGAGAGAAGGAAGGAAGGACUAAAGGGAGGAAGGGAAGGAUGGAAGGAGAAAGAGGGAGAGAGGGAAGGAGGGAGGAAAGAGGGAAGGAAGGAAAGACAAAAGGGAAGGAGAAAGAGGAUGAGAGGGAAGGAAGGACAAAUGAGUGGAUGGGAAGGAUGGAAUUAGAAAGAGAGAGGAAGGGAGGUAAGAAGGAAGGAAAAUCAAAAAGGGAAGGAAGGAAGGAGAAAGAGGGAGAGAGGGAAGGAAGGAAGGGAUGGAAGGAGGGAGGGAGAAAGAGGGAGGUAAGGAAGG